UACGAGGGGAGCAAGUGUUGUUCGGAUUUAUUGGGCGUAAAGGGAGUGUAGGCGGGAAUCUAAGUCAGAGGUGUAAUUUCGGGGCUCAACCCCGAACGUGCCUUUGAGACUGGAUUUCUUGAGUAUGGGAGAGGGCGAUGGAAUUCCUGGUGUAGCGGUGGAAUGCGUAGAUAUCAGGAGGAACACCUAUAGCGAAGGCAGUCGCCUGGAACAAUACUGACGCUGAAACUCGAAAGCAUGGGGAGCAAACAGG
rnacentral:rRNA from 1 species